rnacentral:rRNA from 1 species
UACAGAGGUCUCAAGUCGUUGUUCGGAUUGUACAUUGGGCGUAAAGGGUGUCGUAGGCGGCGUCGGUAAAGUUCGGGUGUGAAAAUCUUGGAGCUUAAACUCCGAAACUGCAUUCGAUACUGCCGUGCGUUGAGGACUGGAGAGGAGACUGGAAAUUUACGGUGUAGCGGUGAAAUGCGUAGAUAUCGUAAGGAAGACCAG